AUCUGGCUGGCUCAGUUAGUAGAGAAUGUGACUGUUAAUCUCAAGGUCGUGAGUUCGUGGAGCCCCAUGCCGGGUG
rnacentral:tRNA from 1 species